rnacentral:rRNA from 1 species
UAGGGAAUAUUAGAAAUGGACGAAAGUCUGAUCUAGCAACACCGCGUGUGCGAAGAAGGCCUUCGGGUCGUAAAGCACUUUUUGGAAGGAAUAGGAAGGAAUGUACUUCCAGAAUAAGUCUCGGCUAACUACGUGCCAGCAGCCGCGGUAACACGUAGGAGGCAAACGUUAUCCGGAUUUACUGGGCGUAAAGCGCGUGUAGGUGGUACUGUAAGUAGGGCGUGAAAGCUCCUGGAUCAACUGGGAGAGGCCGUUCUAAACUACAGAACUAGAGGAUGGUAGAGGGAGGUGGAAUUCCAGGUGUAGCGGUGGAAUGCGCAGAUAUCUGGAGGAACACCGGUGGCGAAGGCGGCCUCCUGGACCAUUCCUGACACUCAGGCACGAAAGCGUGGGUAGCAAACA